AAGAGACAUCAAGGGAAUGUUUAAGGGUUCUUCAAAAAGUUCAUGGAAAGCUAAGAAAAAGCAAUGCAUAGAUUUCUAUAUUUUUUUGCACAAAAAUAAACUCAUACUUUAAUUCCAUUUCUCUGUGACCCCUUCAAACUCCCCCAGUAGUAUUCCUAGGUUCCUUAGAUGAGGAAAACCAACAUUACAGACACUAAGAUACAGGAAACUCCAAGGACUCCUCCCAGACGUUGUUCUCUUGCUUCCCUUUUCUCCAAAAUCCUCUCAUGAUCACUUGUUGUCCCAUCCCCAUCCACCACAGAACCCAGAACAUGAAAUUCAAAAGAUAAUAGAAUUUAUGGGUAAGAAACUAGAUAAAGAGACUGUCCACAGGAUCGUUCAGCACACUUCAUUUGAAAGCAUGAAUGAAAACCCAUUAACCAACUUGACCACGCUGCCUUCUGCCAUCAUGGACCAUUCCAUCUCCCCAUUCAUGAGGAAGGGAACUGUGGGAGACUGGAAGAAUUACUUCACAGUGGCACAGAAUGAGAGAUUUGAUGCAGACUAUCAGAGGAAAAUGGCCAACACCUCUCUCACCUUCCACACUGAGCUCUUGAGAGAAGAAGGCAAAAUCUAGGCAACUCAGAGGUGACCUUGUUGUUUCUUCAUGUAUUUUCCCUUUGAAAUUGCUUUCUGAGCUUGCUUAGAUUGUUCAUGAAAGCACAAGAAAUUCUGUACUUUUUCCUUUCUCAUGCACCUGGGAAAUAAAAUCAUUCAGUUGGCUAACA